UUCAAGGGAAAUAAUUGUGGUCUGACUGUAUUAUUUCAAAAAUCACAUUUGAGAUUUUUUUUACUUGCACACCGGUACAGUUUUGCGGGGAAGCGAAAGUUGCUGGAAUUUUGUCUUCUUCUAAAAACAAGUGUCUGAUACAUGUAGUUGCAGUCUGUCUUUGGAAGCUCUUCAGGUAACAAGAAAGAGGCUACAUUGACAUCCUGUUUUGGUAGGGAGAAGUUUGAGUAUGUACAGUUGUUUGACCUGUCUUACCAUGUGGCAGUCCCAGAAGAUGUUACCAUUAUGAAUAAAUGCAGGGGGUAUUAUGCUUUUGUAUGUUAAACAAAGGUCUCAAAGCAUUUAUAUGCUGUAUGACUAGAUACUUGCUCCUGAAAUAAUUGUACAAGACAGCUUUAAGACUGACAUUCCUGACAAGAUGUGAACCUUCUGGACUUUAUGUCAGCCUGGCAUAAGCAUUUCGUUCCUGUAGCUUUGUGUAUCCCUCAAUUUACUAAGUACAUAUCUCAAUUAAAGAUAAUGCUAAUAGAUAUGUUUUAGUAAUAAAUGUGUGAUAGCUUUGUAAUGUAAACACUUUAAAAAUAGAAUGAAAAUGUACUUUGAUAACAAACAUUGAAAUAAAAAUUUAUCAGUAUAUUGUAUCAGUCAGUAAAAACAUGAAGUACAUUUGUAUCUUUAUAUCAAGAAAAUUAAAAUAAUUAUAUUCAAAUGCUUUGACACUGAUUUUAUGUUGGUUGCCUAGAAAGUGUGUGAAUUAAUGUUUUACAAUAUUUCAGAACUUAAAGACAAUGGUUAGUUCAGAAGGGACAUAAAAGUAAUGUGAAAGUAACAGAUAUA